rnacentral:rRNA from 1 species
CUGGCUCAGGAUGAACGCUAGCUACAGGCUUAACACAUGCAAGUCGAGGGGCAGCAUUGGAGUAGCAAUACUCAGAUGGCGACCGGCGCACGGGUGAGUAACACGUAUCCAACCUGCCGCUUACUCGGGGAUAGCCUUUCGAAAGAAAGAUUAAUACCCGAUGGUAUAAAGAGUUCGCAUGUUCUCUUUAUUAAAGAAUUUCGGUAAGCGAUGGGAUGCGUUCCAUUAGAUAGUUGGCGGGGUAACGGCCCACCAAGUCUACGAUGGAUAGGGGUUCUGAGAGGAAGGUCCCCCACAUUGGAACUGAGACACGGUCCAAACUCCUACGGGAGGCAGCAGUGAGGAAUAUUGGUCAAUGGACGAGAGUCUGAACCAGCCAAAAGUAGCGUGAAGGAUGACUGCCCUAUGGGUUGUAAACUUCUUUUAUAAGGGAAUAAAGUGAGGGACGUGUCCCUUUUUGUAUGUACCUUAUGAAUAAGGAUCGGCUAACUCCGUGCCAGCCGCCGC